rnacentral:rRNA from 1 species
UUUCCAGACUCCUACGGGAGGCAGCAGUGAGGAAUAUUGGUCAAUGGGCGGAAGCCUGAACCAGCCAAGUCGCGUGAGGGAAUAAGGCCCUACGGGUCGUAAACCUCUUUUGCCGGGGAGCAAGGGCGGGGACGUGUCCCGGCCCGGAGAGUACCCGGAGAAAAAGCAUCGGCUAACUCCGUGCCAGCAGCCGCGGUAAUACGGAGGAUGCGAGCGUUAUCCGGAUUUAUUGGGUUUAAAGGGUGCGUAGGCGGGCUUUUAAGUCAGCGGUAAAAAUUCGGGGCUCAACCCCGUCCGGCCGUUGAAACUGGGGGCCUUGAGUGGGCGAGAAGAAGGCGGAAUGCGUGGUGUAGCGGUGAAAUGCAUAGAUAUCACGCAGAACCCCGAUUGCGAAGGCAGCUUACUAAACUGUGACUGACAUUGAUGCUCGAAAGUGUGGGUAUCAAACAGGAUUAGAUACCCCAGUA